rnacentral:rRNA from 1 species
AUUGAACGCUGGCGGCAUGCCUUACACAUGCAAGUCGAACGGCAGCACGGGAGCUUGCUCCUGGUGGCGAGUGGCGAACGGGUGAGUAAUACAUCGGAACGUACCCCGAAGUGGGGGAUAACGUAGCGAAAGUUACGCUAAUACCGCAUAUUCUGUGAGCAGGAAAGAGGGGGAUCGCAAGACCUCUUGCUUUAGGAGCGGCCGAUGUCGGAUUAGCUAGUUGGUGAGGUAAAGGCUCACCAAGGCGACGAUCCGUAGCGGGUCUGAGAGGAUGAUCCGCCACACUGGGACUGAGACACGGCCCAGACUCCUACGGGAGGCAGCAGUGGGGAAUUUUGGACAAUGGGCGCAAGCCUGAUCCAGCCAUGCCGCGUGAGUGAAGAAGGCCUUCGGGUUGUAAAGC